rnacentral:tRNA from 1 species
GGAGAGAUGGCAGAGUUGGUCGAAUGCGGCAGACUCGAAAUCUGUUGUGCCUGUAAGGGCACCGGGGGUUCGAAUCCCUCUCUCUCCG